UACGGGGGGAGCAAGCGUUGUUCGGAUUUACUGGGCGUAAAGGGCGCGUAGGCGGUCAGCACGAGUCAGUUGUGAAAUCUCCGGGCUUAACUCGGAAAGGUCAACUGAUACUGUGCGACUAGAGUGCAGAAGGGGCAACUGGAAUUCUCGGUGUAGCGGUGAAAUGCGUAGAUAUCGAGAGGAACACCUGCGGCGAAGGCGGGUUGCUGGGCUGACACUGACGCUAAUGCGCGAAAGCCAGGGGAGCGAACGGG
rnacentral:rRNA from 1 species